AUGAACGCUGGCGGCGUGCCUAAUCCAUGCAAGUCGAGCGAACAGACGAGGAGCUUGCUCCUCUGACGUUAGCGGCGGACGGGUGAGUAACACGUGGAUAACCUACCUAUAAGCCUGGGAUAACUUCGGGAAACCGGAGCUAAUACCGGAUAAUAUAUUGAACCGCAUGGUUCAAUAGUGAAAGACGGUUUUGCUGUCACUUAUAGAUGGAUCCGCGCCGCAUUAGCUAGUUGGUAAGGUAACGGCUUACCAAGGCAACGAUGCGUAGCCGACCUGAGAGGGUGAUCGGCCACACUGGAACUGAGACACGGUCCAGACUCCUACGGGAGGCAGCAGUAGGGAAUCUUCCGCAAUGGGCGAAAGCCUGACGGAGCAACGCCGCGUGAGUGAUGAAGGUCUUCGGAUCGUAAAACUCUGUUAUUAGGGAAGAACAAAUGUGUAAGUAACUAUGCACGUCUUGACGGUACCUAAUCAGAAAGCCACGGCUAACUACGUG
rnacentral:rRNA from 1 species